rnacentral:rRNA from 1 species
GACGGAGGGGGCUAGCGUUGUUCGGAAUUACUGGGCGUAAAGAGUGCGUAGGCGGUUUAGUAAGUUGGAAGUGAAAGCCCGAGGCUUAACCUCGGAACUGCUUUCAAAACUACUAAUCUAGAGUGUAGUAGGGGAUGAUGGAAUUCCUAGUGUAGAGGUGAAAUUCUUAGAUAUUAGGAGGAACACCGGUGGCGAAGGCGGUCAUCUGGGCUACAACUGACGCUGAUGCACGAAAGCGUGGGUAGCAAACAGG